AAACCAUGAUGAGGGCAAUCUCGCUGGUACGGUUUGAAUCUCACCCAAGCAGCUUUGAACGCCUCAGUUGGUCCCUUAGAAAACGUUGAGAUUUUGAGUCU
rnacentral:snoRNA from 1 species